rnacentral:rRNA from 1 species
GCAUAACGCGAAGAACCUUACCGGGGCUUGACAUCUUUCUGACCGCCUGGGAAACCAGGUCUUCUUCCUUCGGGAAGACGGAAAGACAGGUGGUGCAUGGUUGUCGUCAGCUCGUGUCGUGAGAUGUUGGGUUAAGUCCCACAACGAGCGCAACCCUUGUCCUUAUUUGCCAGCCUGUUUACAGGCGUACUUUAAGGAGACUGCCGUAGAUAAUACGGAGGAAGGUGGGGAUGACGUCAAAUCCUCAUGCCCCUUACGUCCCGGGCUACACACGUGCUACAAUGGUCUGUACAGAGGGUAGCCAAGAAGCAAUUCGGAGCCAAUCCCAAAAAGCAGGCCCCAGUUCGGAUUGGAGCUGCAACUCGCCUCCAUGAAGUCGGAAUCGCUAGUAAUCGCGGAUCAGCACGCCGCGGUGAAUCCGUUCCCGGGUCUUGUACACACCG